rnacentral:lncRNA from 1 species
UACGCCUUCUUUCAAGAAAACCACAACACAUCUCACUUUUCUUACAGAUCAAACAUAGUUCUGUGUUCUUGUCUUGUUAUUCUUUUAUGUUUCUGUGGAGAUGUAAAUAAUUUUUUUUUUUUUUGAAAUUUUGACAGAGUCACGUGCCGUCAUGAGGUACGUAGCUGAGAAGUACAGGUCACAAGGACCUGACCUUUUGGGGAAAACCGUGGAAGAAAGAGGACAAGUUGAGCAGUGGCUAGACGUGGAGGCGACCACUUACCACCCACCGCUACUUAACCUGACACUUCACAUAAUGUUCGCGUCAGUUAUGGGAUUCCCAUCUGAUGAGAAGCUGAUCAAGGAGAGCGAAGAGAAGCUCUCAGCUGUGCUCGAUGUCUACGAGGCACAUCUCUCAAAGAGCAAGUACUUGGCCGGUGACUUCGUGAGCUUGGCUGACUUGGCUCACCUCCCGUUUACUGAUUACUUGGUCGGUCCGAUCGGGAAGGCUUACAUGAUCAAAGAUAGGAAGCACGUGAGCGCGUGGUGGGACAGUAUUAGCAGCCGUCCUGCGUGGAAGGAGACUCUUGAGAAGUAUUCAUUCCCCGCUUAAGAACAUGAUGUUCUUUGUUGUUGUUGUUGUUUGUGUGUUUAUGUGAGGUUUAAUAAUAAUGUGGAAAUGUAUGCUUCUUCUUAUAUUAUGUUACCUCUACUCUGUUUCGUUUUGUAACUCGGAACUCUUUGUAUGGUUGAGUGAGGCUUUUAAUUUGAGGAACUUAAUUAUCACCCUUCCAUCAAGGAUCAUUAUAAAGGUUUGCAAAAUCUUGAAGAAAUAGACAUCAUUCCUAGGCUAUGGUUACAAUACCUCUUCCUAUGUGUAAAUUUAACAGAAUUGAACAUAGAUAUUCGAUAUCUAGUAGUGUUGAUGUAAUGUUGAAGGUUAAGAUUGUUGUGCUUAUUGGGAUUACUAUUGAUGAUCGCAUUAUCUCCUUCAAAUUCGACAACACGGUAUCCUAGAGAUCAGUAUUCAUAGCUGAUAGUGGUACAGAACAUUACACUUCUUCUGACGUAUGAUUUCCCUCAAAUCUUCCCAUUACACAAUCCAUAAAUGUUUCACUGCUUUUUCUUACUACCCAUCAUAGAUUAGUGUCUUUGUCACCUUGAAAAUGCGAUGCAUCAUUAUUAUAUUUUAGCCAACCACUUGAAGAUCUCUUCUAUUUAACUUACUUUGCACCCUGUCGUUUCUCAGCACAUUGUAUUUCUUUCUAGAACUCUCACUCAUAAACAUUUACCUCUUAGUUCUAGAAAAAAAAAAAAACAUUUGACCUGUAGUGGUAAAUGCAACCGUUUGGAACUUUGCGUAAGCAUUUUGUACCGGUUUGAGUCAUUUGAGUUUUGACGAGUAGGCCACUCACAUUGCCCCACAUAAAUAAAACCAGCGACAUUCAGAGAACCUUUACUUUGAUAGGUUCAUCAGGCUUUAUUGGUGCAUUGAUCAACAUAAAGCAUUAUUAUUAAGUAUAAACUCUAUUAUGAGUGCACCAAAAAAAACUCUAUUAUGCAUACACUUUAAUCACUAACUUUUGUUUUAUCCAUCUAAUAAUUUUGUUUAAAGUAACAUAGUCUGCCAGAAUAUGAUUAACAAAAUAAUUUGACUCAUUUCAUCACGUUUUGUUGAUACUUUCUUGCCCCCACCAACCUAAUUUUAACCUGCCAAGAAAUGGCUCUGUUUAGUCUCAGAUCAUUAUUUCAUUGCAUUAUGGUUCUAAAAAUGAGAAUCAAUAUCGCAUCUUAUUAGAAUAAACUGGGAAUUUUUUUCAGUUCAAAUGCUUUUCAAUUUCUUUUAAUCCAAAAAAAAUGUUCUUGAAACAUUUUAAAAAUCCAAAUUAUUAUUAUUUAAAAAAAUCUUAUAGUCUACCUUUUUUAGAUCUAAAUCUUAAGUUUAAGUUACCUCUUUGAUAAAAAUAUAUUUUGAUCAUUUUAGCCUUAUGUUAUAUUUGUGAUAAAUAAAUUUAAAGGGUAUCUUUGAAUAUUUCUAUAGAGAAAAUUAAAAGUAAUAUUAAUGACAAAAAUGUAAUCAAGUGUAGUUUCAUAAUAGUGACUAAUAAUCUCUCUUUUUUUUUUGAUUUUUCAAUUUUUUUUUAUUCUUUUUCCACCGCGAAAGCAACGGAAACGCAACGCCACGUUUCGCCACGAGUCGCAAUAUCUCUCUCCCCACCCGUCUAGCAUCCUCUCUCUCUAUAAAACGGCGUCGUGAGCACCGUAAAAUUCAUCACUUAAACAAGCCAACUGUGACCGCAAGCUUAGACAAAGAAACAGAGAAACAGAAAGAUGGUGCUAAAGGUGUACGGACCUCACUUUGCUUCACCAAAGCGAGCUCUGGUAACGCUCAUCGAGAAGGGCGUCGCCUUCGAGACCGUCCCCGUCGAUCUCAUGAAAGGAGAACACAAGCAGCCUGCUUAUCUCGCCUUACAGGUUUCCUUCCUCGAUCUCCCUCUGCUUCUUUCUUUCCUUUUUCAAGAUUCUCACCAUCUUCUUUGUUUCUUCCCAUGCAGCCCUUCGGUACCGUCCCUGCUGUUGUCGACGGCGACUACAAAAUCUUCGGUACGCCUUCUUUCAAGAAAACCACAACACAUCUCACUUUUCUUACAGAUCAAACAUAGUUCUGUGUUCUUGUCUUGUUAUUCUUUUAUGUUUCUGUGGAGAUGUAAAUAAUUUUUUUUUUUUUUGAAAUUUUGACAGAGUCACGUGCCGUCAUGAGGUACGUAGCUGAGAAGUACAGGUCACAAGGACCUGACCUUUUGGGGAAAACCGUGGAAGAAAGAGGACAAGUUGAGCAGUGGCUAGACGUGGAGGCGACCACUUACCACCCACCGCUACUUAACCUGACACUUCACAUAAUGUUCGCGUCAGUUAUGGGAUUCCCAUCUGAUGAGAAGCUGAUCAAGGAGAGCGAAGAGAAGCUCUCAGCUGUGCUCGAUGUCUACGAGGCACAUCUCUCAAAGAGCAAGUACUUGGCCGGUGACUUCGUGAGCUUGGCUGACUUGGCUCACCUCCCGUUUACUGAUUACUUGGUCGGUCCGAUCGGGAAGGCUUACAUGAUCAAAGAUAGGAAGCACGUGAGCGCGUGGUGGGACAGUAUUAGCAGCCGUCCUGCGUGGAAGGAGACUCUUGAGAAGUAUUCAUUCCCCGCUUAAGAACAUGAUGUUCUUUGUUGUUGUUGUUGUUUGUGUGUUUAUGUGAGGUUUAAUAAUAAUGUGGAAAUGUAUGCUUCUUCUUAUAUUAUGUUACCUCUACUCUGUUUCGUUUUGUAACUCGGAACUCUUUGUAUGGUUGAGUGAGGCUUUUAAUUUGAGGAACUUAAUUAUCACCCUUCCAUCAAGGAUCAUUAUAAAGGUUUGCAAAAUCUUGAAGAAAUAGACAUCAUUCCUAGGCUAUGGUUACAAUACCUCUUCCUAUGUGUAAAUUUAACAGAAUUGAACAUAGAUAUUCGAUAUCUAGUAGUGUUGAUGUAAUGUUGAAGGUUAAGAUUGUUGUGCUUAUUGGGAUUACUAUUGAUGAUCGCAUUAUCUCCUUCAAAUUCGACAACACGGUAUCCUAGAGAUCAGUAUUCAUAGCUGAUAGUGGUACAGAACAUUACACUUCUUCUGACGUAUGAUUUCCCUCAAAUCUUCCCAUUACACAAUCCAUAAAUGUUUCACUGCUUUUUCUUACUACCCAUCAUAGAUUAGUGUCUUUGUCACCUUGAAAAUGCGAUGCAUCAUUAUUAUAUUUUAGCCAACCACUUGAAGAUCUCUUCUAUUUAACUUACUUUGCACCCUGUCGUUUCUCAGCACAUUGUAUUUCUUUCUAGAACUCUCACUCAUAAACAUUUACCUCUUAGUUCUAGAAAAAAAAAAAAACAUUUGACCUGUAGUGGUAAAUGCAACCGUUUGGAACUUUGCGUAAGCAUUUUGUACCGGUUUGAGUCAUUUGAGUUUUGACGAGUAGGCCACUCACAUUGCCCCACAUAAAUAAAACCAGCGACAUUCAGAGAACCUUUACUUUGAUAGGUUCAUCAGGCUUUAUUGGUGCAUUGAUCAACAUAAAGCAUUAUUAUUAAGUAUAAACUCUAUUAUGAGUGCACCAAAAAAAACUCUAUUAUGCAUACACUUUAAUCACUAACUUUUGUUUUAUCCAUCUAAUAAUUUUGUUUAAAGUAACAUAGUCUGCCAGAAUAUGAUUAACAAAAUAAUUUGACUCAUUUCAUCACGUUUUGUUGAUACUUUCUUGCCCCCACCAACCUAAUUUUAACCUGCCAAGAAAUGGCUCUGUUUAGUCUCAGAUCAUUAUUUCAUUGCAUUAUGGUUCUAAAAUGAGAAUCAUUAUCGCAUCUUAUUAGAAUAAACUGGGAUUAUACUCAUGUUCCCCACCAGUCUUAAUCUAAUAAACAAGUGGUCCUUUUGCAUUAUGAGUUUCAUUGAAAUAAAGUAAAUAACACUAAAGACAAAAAAAUAAAGACCAUUUAUUCAAAAUUAUGAUGGGACGUAUUGAAAGUUUCUUAGUGAAAAGUCAAAAACGCCGUGUGACUCAGAGCCGCCACCGACGAGUUUAGUACUAAACAAGUGUCAUACACUAAUACUAAACAAAUUACACUUGUUUUUUUAACAAUACUAAACAAGUGCGACUGCGUUUACAAUACGACCGCAAACGCACCGGUUUCCCUAUAAGAUCAUGUCCUGAGAGAGUAAUAUUAUAACUGAUAGGGAAGAAGAAGAAAGAAAAGGAAAGAAAAGAUGGUGUUGACAAUCUAUGCGCCUUUAUUCGCUUCUUCCAAGAGAGCUGUAGUGACGUUAGUGGAGAAGGGAGUAGAGUUCGAGACUGUCAAUGUCGAUCUCAUGAAAGGAGAGCAGAGGCAGCCUGAGUAUAUGGCCAUUCAGGUUCCUUAUCUCUAUCUCUCUUUUUCAAUCAUAUUUUUUAUAAUAUAUGCAUUGAUCUUGAUAUAUUCCUCUCUGUUGAUCGAUGCAGCCUUUUGGUAAGAUCCCUGUGCUCGUUGACGGUGACUACAAAAUCUUCGGUACACUUCUUCUACUCUCAAGAUUCUUGGCAUCAUAAUCUGAUAUUUACUGCGAUCAACGCACAAGUUAAAUGAAAUGAGUUAUUGAGUUAUGACUAUAUUAUACAUAUAGUAAGAGUUUAUAUUGUUGGAGUUUGACUUCGACCAAGCUUACAAGAGGUUGUAAGAUUUGUUUCUUGAUCCGCCGGAUCUGAGAUUUUAGAGGUUAUAAAUAUUUCGUAAUAUACCAUUCAUAAAAAAAUCGUCAUCAAACCUAUGUAGAUUAGUUUUACAAAAUUUGAGGACCAAGACAAAUAUUUCAUACGGCUGUAGUUUGUAACUGGAUGUUAGGAGAUUAGCUCGUGAAUGUUUAAUGUGUGCAGUGUUGUGUGAAUGUUCAAAAAAAAUACACUAUACUUUGCAGAGUCACGUGCCAUCAUGAGGUACAUAGCAGAGAAAUACAGAUCACAAGGACCAGACUUGUUAGGAAAGACAAUUGAAGAGAGAGGACAAGUGGAGCAAUGGCUUGACGUGGAAGCAACAAGCUACCAUCCACCACUACUAGCUCUAACGCUUAACAUUGUCUUUACAUGGGCUUUCCUGCUGAUGAGAAAGUUAUAAAAGAGAGUGAAGAGAAGCUUGGUGAAGUGCUUGACGUGUACGACGCACAGCUUUCAAAGAACGAAUACUUGGCUGGAGAUUUCGUGAGUCUAGCUGAUUUAGCUCACCUUCCCUUCACUGAGUACCUCGUGGGUGCUAUUGGGAAGGGUUAUAUGAUCAAAGAUAGGAAGCACGUGAGCGCGUGGUGGGAU